rnacentral:rRNA from 3 species
ACUCCUACGGGAGGCAGCAGUGGGGAAUAUUGGACAAUGGGCGCAAGCCUGAUCCAGCCAUGCCGCGUGAGUGAUGAAGGCCCUAGGGUUGUAAAGCUCUUUUGUGCGGGAAGAUAAUGACGGUACCGCAAGAAUAAGCCCCGGCUAACUUCGUGCCAGCAGCCGCGGUAAU